CUAAUGGUUUUAAUGGACACUGUAAUGGUCUCUAUUGGUAAUUUGCUUUCUUCUAUUGGUGGCAUGUAUUGUCUAUUGGAUACCAUUAAGGACCAAUAGAACACCUUUGGAAACUUAUGGUGGUAUCUACUGGACACCAGUAGAAACCAUUAUGACUCCAAUAAAUUAAGUGGUUUCUUUGGAAAACUGUAAUGGUCUUAGUGGGCAGGCUACUGCUGAAAAAAUAAAAAAAUAAAAUAAAUAAAUAAAUGAACACACAAACAAUAGAAACCAUUACAGAAUAUGUAAUGGUUUUAAUGGUUCUAAUGGGAAUUCUGUUGCUUUAAAUGGACACUGUAAUGGUCCCUAUGGGUCUGUAUUGGUAAUUUGCUUUCUUUUAUUGGUGGCAUGUAUUGUCUAUUGGAUACCGUUAAGGACCAAUAGAACACCUUUGGAAAAUUAUGCUGGUACCCACGUAUGCUGGACGUCAUUUGGACAUCGGUUUUUUUUUUUUUUUUGCUAAAUCAACUCGGCCCGUCAUGGCCUUCUUUUAGAUCAAAAAUUGACGUUGAAAGUUGGUCUUUGCUUGGUUCGUCUGAUUUGGUUCAAAUAUAGCCCCAAAAUCUAUGUUUAAUAUUAGGUUUUGUUUGGUCCAUCUGAUUUGGUCCAAAUUUAGGCCAAAAAUAGAUGUUGAAAUAACAGUGAAAUUCUGCGUGACUUCUACGUGCUGCAAUGGGCGCGCGCGCUGAACUGGAGCGGAGGACGUCACCAUGGAAACGAGGCGGCAGCCGAACCGUCAAGCAGCUGAACGCUGACUCUCAAUGUGGUUUUCAUUAUUGUUUUAGGUAAGUUUCGUCUAUAUAAUUACACAAAUAAUACAUUAAAGUGUUUCUGACACUUUAUUUCAUGUAAAUGAUACGCUUCCGUUUAAUAUUUACUUUAUAGAAAUGGUUUAGUGUCGUCAGAAAAAGUCCGUUAGCAUCUCCACUGCAAGGCUAACUACAAGAGGUUCUUCAAUGCUGAUGGCUGUGCUCUAGAGUCAUAUCUCCUGUCGAAGAACAUUUUUAGACACUAUGAACCAUGAAAAAGUUUAGCUCCAACCCCAGUUAAGCAGACCUGGGCAGCGGAUCAAGGAUCACCAGAAACUCUUCAGAACAUUGGUCCUUCAGCCCAGGACUGGACACCGGUGUUAGUGUCUGUCUCAGAAGCUGAAGAAAAGAGGCCACACCUCAGAGGAAAUAAGCGCCUCCUAAGUGUACGGAAAUACCUGGCUGAGAAGAUCAGUGACAAACCAGAUAAAUCUGUCAGUGGUCUAAGACAGCUACAAUGAAGCCACAAACGCAGUUCAUAGUUCCUGUAUUUCUAUAAUGCAUUAAUGAAUAACAAUAAUUUAAAAAAAAUGUAAUGUCAAGGUUUUGUGUUAAUUCCAGCUAUGUUGAGUAUUCUGUGAAUAAUUUUGAUUUUAGGUGCAUAUUCUUAAUUCUUUGCAAAACAACCUGAACUGUUUGCUAUUGAAAGGUUGGUAUGUAGUUUAAAUAAAUAAAAAUGAUAUUCUUGACAAAA